GAUGAACGCUGGCGGCGUGCCUAAUACAUGCAAGUCGAGCGAACAGACGAGGAGCUUGCUCCUUUGACGUUAGCGGCGGACGGGUGAGUAACACGUGGGUAACCUACCUAUAAGACUGGGAUAACUUCGGGAAACCGGAGCUAAUACCGGAUAAUAUUUCGAACCGCAUGGUUCGAUAGUGAAAGAUGGCUUUGCUAUCACUUAUAGAUGGAUCUGCGCCGUAUUAGCUAGUUGGUAAGGUAACGGCUUACCAAGGCAACGAUUCGUAGCCGACCUGAGAGGGUGAUCGGCCACACUGGAACUGAGACACGGUCCAGACUCCUACGGGAGGCAGCAGUAGGGAAUCUUCCGCAGUGGGCGAAAGCCUGGCGGAGCAACGCCGCGUGAGUGAUGAAGGUCUUCGGAUCGUAAAACUCUGUUAUUAGGGAAGAACAAACGUGUAAGGAACUGUGCACGUCUUGACGGUACCUAAUCAGAAAGCCACGGCUAACUACGUG
rnacentral:rRNA from 1 species